UAUUGCGUUCGAUUUCCGAUUAUAUUGCCUAUACCUCCUUUUUAAUCCAAUCCCUGAUAAUUAAACUUUAUUAUAAAUUAUCAUAGAUUUUGAUUCUAAAAAAAUGGCUUUUUCCAACACGGCAGUUAUUUAUCAAUUUUGUGACGAAAUUAUUAAUGGACAAAACGAAAUAACUUGUGAAAAAUGGAAAAUGGUGCCUGAUAUUUUUAAAAAUUUUGAGGACGUUACGAAACAAAUUGAAUUAGUAAACCCGAAGGAAUGUUUAAUUUCUGUAAUAAAGAAAUGUAAUAGUAACAAUCAUAACGAAAUAUAUAAUUGUAUUGAAAAAAUCCAAAAAGCAUUUUAUUGCCUAAUGUUAUAUUGCAUAAAUAUUAUAAGAAAUCCGAAAAAAAGAGAGUUUCAAAUCAUCAAGAAUGGAAAUUUAUGUACUAAACAAAAUAAAUUGUAAAGCAUACUCGAAAGCCGUUACCAGUGGUUUGCAGUAGUGAAAGAGUUAAACCAUAACUAAAUGUAAAUUUAACAUAAAACGAACAACUCUAUUGAACCAUCAGUGUGUAAAAUAAGAAAUCAAAGACGAGCGGUCAAUUUGACCAGCUAACCCUUGGAAUUGACGGUCAACUGUUUUUUUUGAACUGUCAACAUUUUUAUUAUUUUCUUUGUUUUCAUUUUAAUCUUUGUAAUAGUUCUUCAUGACUGAACUUUAUAAAUACAAAAAUAACUUAAUAUUUGAUAAUUAACAAAUUAGUAUUACUUUUUUAAAUUUGCAAAUAACUAACAUUAAAAUUACACGCCAAUGUUAAUAGUUUGAAAUUAAGCGCGCAGAUUUUCAUUUUAUUUCUUAAAGGAAGUUUGAUAAAUUGAUAAACUUUUUCAAAAUUUUAAUGAUUUUAUGAUAAUUUAGUACAUGCUUUUUCCAAAUAAUAAUCUG
rnacentral:misc_RNA from 1 species